rnacentral:rRNA from 1 species
CCUACGGGAGGCAGCAGUAGGGAAUCUUUCACAAUGGGCGAAAGCCUGAUGGAGCAACGCCGCGUGCAGGAUGAAGGCCUUCGGGUGGGAAACUGCUUUUAUAAGCGAGAAAUAUGAUGGUAACUUAUGAAUAAGGAUCGGCUAACUACGUGCCAGCAGCCGCGGUCAUACGUAGGAUCCGAGCAUUAUCCGGAGUGACUGGGUGUAAAGAGUUGCGUAGGUGUCAUAAUAAGUAGCUAGUGAAAUCUGGUGGCUCAACCAUUCAGACUAUUAGCUAAACUGUUAAGCUCGAGACCGUUAGGGGCAUCUGGAAUUUCUAGUGUAGGAGUGAAAUCCGUAGAUAUUAGAAGGAACACCAAGAGCGUAGGCAGGAUGCUGGGACGGUUCUGACACUAAGGCACGAAAGCGUAGGGAGCAAACGGGAUUAGAUACCCGAGUAGUC